AUGGAACAGUUACAGGGAUAUUUCUGGCAUAAUGCUCAAGGGUUGCUGCAGGAUGAGGGCCUCUUGUCUUGUGGCCCCCUGCCUGGAGGAGGACCUGGAGCUUUUAAAUUAGUGCUGGAACAUGGAGGGGCCAAGGUUGCAAGGAAUGAUUGGGCAGAAAAAAACAGUGAAGGAGCUGACACUAAGAAGGUGGGUAAUUUAGCUUCAGAGCUACGUGGCUCAACUGUGAUGCAUGGGACCUGGUGUGAGAGACACUGCACAGCGACACGUUGUGCAGUCGGCUGGCGGUAGAACCCUGAAUGAUUGCCGUGGUGGCAAGUAGAGGCUGCUAGCAAAAACAAGAUCAAGCUGGUGCUGCACUUUAUCACCUCAGCCAUCUGUUGGAUGGCUUAGAAAGCAGAGGGCCAUUUGCUAAGUGACAACUGAUGUCAUUUUAUUCUAAUGUUCAACCAAAGAAGAACUCUGCCAAGACGCAGACAAUAAUAACAUGCUAUUUUGCCACUUUUCAUCAAGCAAUUUGUGUGAUGUUUUGAAUCCCUUAAGUAUUAUUCUUGUGUUCUGUUUAUACUUUGAUAGCAUCUGUAGAGCAGGAAGUGUGUGCCUGAAUAUUAGAUGUCAUUUUAAGGAAAUUGUUCAUCAGAUCCAUUGUAGACAAAGUUUCACCUGGAUUUUUUUGGCUGCCAUUACGGUUACCUGUAACUUCUUCACCUCUCGUGCUCUCACCUGCUCUUGUGCCUUAGCUCAAACACCUGCCUGCUGAUGGCAUGUGGGUGCAUCUUGUGGUGCUGCCAGUGACUUGGAUUUGACCCUAGACUUAGACUACCUGGAGCUCCAAGCAGGUGGUCUGCACAUUUCAAAACCAUAGCUGAGUCCUUAG
rnacentral:lncRNA from 1 species